CCGCGGUAAUACGUAGGAGGCGAGCGUUAUCCGGAUUUAUUGGGCGUAAAGCGCUUGCAGGCGGUGUAUCAAGUUGGAUGUGAAAGCUCCUGGCUCAACUAGGAGAGGCUGUUCAAAACUGAUAGACUUGAGGAUGGUAGAGGAAGGUGGAAUUCCGGGAGUAGUGGUGAAAUGCGUAGAUAUCCGGAGGAACACCAGUGGCGAAAGCGGCCUUCUGGGCCAAACCUGACGCUAAGAAGCGAAAGCUAGGGUAGCAAACGGGAUUAGAAACCCGUGUAG
rnacentral:rRNA from 1 species